AAGUGGGGGAAAGAAAGAAAAAAGAAAAAAGAAAGAAAGAAGAAAAGGAAUUCUUGAGAGUUCGAGACAUAGAAAACACACUUACUUGCUCGUUUUUGCUUGCGCU
rnacentral:ribozyme from 1 species